UACGAAGGGAGCUAGCGUUGUUCGGAAUCACUGGGCGUAAAGCGCACGUAGGCGGACGUGUCAGUCAGGGGUGAAAUCCCGGAGCUCAACUUCGGAACUGCCUUUGAUACAGCACGUCUUGAGUCCGGAAGAGGUGGGUGGAAUUCCUAGUGUAGAGGUGAAAUUCGUAGAUAUUAGGAAGAACACCGGUAGGCGGAAGCGGCCCGACCUAGGUCCGGGUCA
rnacentral:rRNA from 1 species